rnacentral:rRNA from 1 species
GAUUGAACGCUGGCGGCAUGCUUUACACAUGCAAGUCGAACGGUAACAGGUCUUCGGAUGCUGACGAGUGGCGAACGGGUGAGUAAUGCAUCGGAACGUGCCCAGUCGUGGGGGAUAACGCAGCGAAAGCUGCGCUAAUACCGCAUACGAUCUAUGGAUGAAAGCGGGGGACCGUAAGGCCUCGCGCGAUUGGAGCGGCCGAUGUCAGAUUAGGUAGUUGGUGGGGUAAAGGCUCACCAAGCCAACGAUCUGUAGCUGGUCUGAGAGGACGACCAGCCACACUGGAACUGAGACACGGUCCAGACUCCUACGGGAGGCAGCAGUGGGGAAUUUUGGACAAUGGGCGCAAGCCUGAUCCAGCAAUGCCGCGUGCAGGAAGAAGGCCUUCGGGUUGUAAACUGCUUUUGUACGGAACGAAACGGUCUGAGUUAAUACCUCGGGCUAAUGACGGUACCGUAAGAAUAAGCACCGGCUAACUACGUGCCAGCAGCCGCGGUAAUACGUAGGGUGCAAGCGUUAAUCGGAAUUACUGGGCGUAAAGCGUGCGCAGGCGGUGAUGUAAGACAGUCGUGAAAUCCCCGGGCUCAACCUGGGAAUUGCGAUUGUGACUGCAUCGCUGGAGUGCGGCAGAGGGGGAUGGAAUUCCGCGUGUAGCAGUGAAAUGCGUAGAUAUGCGGAGGAACACCGAUGGCGAAGGCAAUCCCCUGGGCCUGCACUGACGCUCAUGCACGAAAGCGUGGGGAGCAAACAGGAUUAGAUACCCUGGUAGUCCACGCCCUAAACGAWRUCAACUGGUUGUUGGGUCUCUUCUGACUCAGUAACGAAGCUAACGCG